rnacentral:misc_RNA from 1 species
UAUCCGUAGGUGAACCAGCGGAAGGAUCAUUACAAGGUUUCUAUAGGGGCAGGUAAUAGCGUUCGUUAGAUAACUCCUCCCUUGUGUGUUCGUCUUUGGUGCCGUGGCCGGCCGCGAGAUCGCCCACGGAUGGAGCACCGGCAUUGGCAGGAGAGCGUUUGAUAGAGGGCCCAACCCUGUUCUUUAUGUCGUCAGAGUACUAUUUAAUAGAUAAAACUUUCAACAACUGAUCCCUUGGUUCUGGAAUCGACAAAGAACAAAAGCAAACGGAAGAACCCC